UACAGAGGUCCCAAGCGUUGUUCGGAUUUACUGGGCGUAAAGGGUGCGUAGGUGGCGAGGUAAGUCGGAUGUGAAAUCUCCAGGCUCAACCUGGAAACGGCAUUGGAAACUACCUUGCUAGAGGAUCGGAGGGGGGACUGGAAUACUUGGUGUAGCAGUGAAAUGCGUAGAUAUCAAGUGGAACACCAGUGGCGAAGGCGAGUCCCUGGACGAUUCCUGACGCUGAGGCACGAAAGCUAGGGGAGCAAACAGG
rnacentral:rRNA from 1 species